rnacentral:rRNA from 1 species
GAUGAACGCUGGCGGCGUGCCUAAUACAUGCAAGUCGAGCGAACAGAUGAGGAGCUUGCUCCUCUGACGUUAGCGGCGGACGGGUGAGUAACACGUGGAUAACCUACCUAUAAGACUGGGAUAACUUCGGGAAACCGGAGCUAACACCGGAUAAUAUAUUGAACCGCAUGGUUCAAUAGUGAAAGACGGUUUUGCUGUCACUUAUAGAUGGAUCCGCGCCGCAUUAGCUAGUUGGUAAGGUAACGGCUUACCAAGGCGACGAUGCGUAGCCGACCUGAGAGGGUGAUCGGCCACACUGGAACUGAGACACGGUCCAGACUCCUACGGGAGGCAGCAGUAGGGAAUCUUCCGCAAUGGGCGAAAGCUUGACGGAGCAACGCCGCGUGAGUGAUGAAGGUCUUCGGAUCGUAAAACUCUGUUAUUAGGGAAGAACAAAUGUGUAAGUAACUAUGCACGUCUUGACGGUACCUAAUCAGAAAGCCACGGCUAACUACGUG